rnacentral:rRNA from 1 species
AGCUCCAAUAGCGUAUAUUAAAGUUGCUGCAGUUAAAAAGCCCGUAGUUGCAUUUCCGAGGCAAGGGAUUAGUCCGACCUUUGGUGGGUAUUUAAUCCUCUUGCCUCGUCCUUGAGUGGUGCUUCUUGGUAUUAAGUUAUCGAGGAGAUAGCCGCUCAUCGUUUACUGUGAGAAAAUUAGAGUGUUCAAAGCAGGCUUAUGCCGUUGAAUAUAUUAGCAUGGAAUAAUAAGAUAGGACCUCGGUACUAUUUUGUUGGUUUGAGAACCAAGGUAAUGAUGAAUAGGGACAGUUGGGAGUAUUCGUAUUCAGUUGUCAGAGGUGAAAUUCUUAGAUUUACGGAAGACGAACUACUGCGAAAGCAUUUACCAAGGAUGUUUUCA